rnacentral:rRNA from 1 species
GACAGGGGGUGCAAACGUUGCUCGGAAUUAUUGGGCGUAAAGCGCGCGUAGGCGGCCGCUUAAGUCGGAUGUGAAAGCCCCUGGCUCAACUGGGGAAGUGCACCCGAAACUGAGUGGCUUGAGUACUAAAGAGGGUCGCGGAAUUCCCGGUGUAGAGGUGAAAUUCGUAGAUAUCGGGAGGAACACCGGUGGCGAAGGCGGCGACCUGGGUAGAUACUGACGCUGAGGCGCGAAAGCGUGGGGAGCAAACAGG